CAGCUGUGAAGACCACGGGCAGCAGGGAUGGGGCUCUGCUCUGCCCACCCAUGGGCUGGCUGGGGCAACCCUCCUACCUUGCACACACUGACCAGACCCUGCAAACCCCACCUGUGCCAGUCAUCUCCUCUGAUGAUCCAUCUCUCACUUUGAAGAGGAGAAGUGUGUACAGAGAUGACUCUUCUGGAGCAAGUACUGGAACUGAUUCAGCCCACUGAAGUUAAUGAGAAUUUU